rnacentral:rRNA from 1 species
CCUACGGGGGCUGCAGUGGGGAAUAUUGGACAAUGGGCGAAAGCCUGAUCCAGCCAUACCGCGUGUGUGAAGAAGGCCUUCGGGUUGUAAAGCACUUUCAGUGGGGAAGAAAGCCUUGGGGCUAAUACCCUCGAGGAAGGACAUCACCCACAGAAGAAGCACCGGCUAACUCCGUGCCAGCAGCCGCGGUAAUACGGAGGGUGCGAGCGUUAAUCGGAAUUACUGGGCGUAAAGCGCGCGUAGGCGGUCUGAUAAGCCGGUUGUGAAAGCCCCGGGCUCAACCUGGGAACGGCAUCCGGAACUGUCAGGCUAGAGUGCAGGAGAGGAAGGUAGAAUUCCCGGUGUAGCGGUGAAAUGCGUAGAGAUCGGGAGGAAUACCAGUGGCGAAGGCGGCCUUCUGGACUGACACUGACGCUGAGGUGCGAAAGCGUGGGUAGCAAACAGGAUUAGAUACCCUGUAGUC